rnacentral:rRNA from 1 species
GAUGAACGCUGGCGGCGUGCCUAAUACAUGCCAGUCGAGCGAACAGACGAUGAGCUUGCUCCUCUGACGUUAGCGGCGGACGGGUGAGUAAGACGUGGAUAACCUACCUAUAAUACUGGGAUAACUUCGGGAAACCGGAGCUAAUACCAGAUAAUAUAUUGAACCGCAUGGUUCAAUAGUGAAAGACGGUUUUGCUGUCUCUUAUAGCUGGAUCCGCGCCGCAUUAGCUAGUUGGUAAGGUAACGGCUUACCAAGGCGACGAUGCGUAGCCGACCUGAGAGGGUGAUCAGCCACACUGGAACUGAGACACGGUCCAGACUCCUACGGGAGGCAGCAGUAGGGAAUCUUCCGCAAUGGGCGAAAGCCUGACGGAGCAACGCCGCGUGAGUGAUGAAGGUCUUCGGAUCGUAAAACUCUGUUAUUAGGGAAGAACAAAUGUGUAAGUAACUAUGCACGUCUUGACGGUACCUAAUCAGAAAGCCACGGCUAACUACGUG